rnacentral:lncRNA from 1 species
UCAGACAGAGAAUAAGCUCUUCUGCAAAUCUGGAGGAAUACAAAGCAUCUGUAGGAUUUCCACUGUAAUGGAUGUUAGAAGUUACCUGAAGGAAUUUAAUUUGCUUUCUCAUUUCUUUGUUUGCUGUCAUACCACAGAACUCUGGUACAGUAUGUCUUAGAAAAUACUCCAUAUUUCUCAACAAGUCAAACAUAGAACGAUGACUGCAUGCUGAGGGCAGCCCUCUUUAUGGAAAAAAAAAUAAAUACAGCAGCCUCCUUGAGUGUGGAGCUUACUGAAUACCAAAAAUGAAAGAACCCUGGAAGGGAUGUCCCAGAGUGAAACUGCCGGGACAGCUGGAAACCAGGCAGAUGGCGAUUAUGGCGGUGAUGCAAUCUGUAAGCCCCUGAGUUUGCAGGAGUGCCAAGGUCGCUGUUCUGGAAACUGAGCUUAUUGCAGUGCCUACGUGGGAAGGAAGUGGAAUAUCCAAGCCUGUUCCCUUGAAUUUAGCAGUUCAGGUAAAAAUGAACCCAGAUCCAAACCACCUUGCUUUUUU